UUAUACUUGCACAUUAGGAGUGACUAAGCCAACCCUUCUUUCUGCGCCCUUAACGUAAAGGAAGCAGUUAACCCAACAAGUCACGUAAUAACUUCAUUAGAACAUAUUUAUGGAGUUCUUGCCUUCCCGCAACACCUGAUUCACUUAUGGCUUUGAAAGCCCAAAUAGGAAGUUUCACCUCUCGAGUCGACUACAACAAGAACGUAACUACUUUGAGCUCCAGCAGGACUAUAAGGAAGGAAGGUAAAGAACAGGAACUCCACGAAACGACAACAAAGAAUCAUCUACAGUGGUUUCGAGCGCAUGUAUAUAUGAUUGUAAUCUUACCCGCCUCUAUUCAAUACCUCCUUACCUUAUGCUUUGGAGUGUCCUCUUCUCUUACUUAGUUCUAUACACUAAGCUCUUAUUCCAUUCUGAAUUCUUGUUCUUUCUUUUGCAGAACUCUACUUUCUACUUGCAGAUGACCUUACUUUAGCCUCGGAUUCUGAACCUUGGAUCAAGACUCACUUCCCCGGCUGAUGCUCCCGCUCUAGACUCUAUCCUUUCAGACCUGCUUACCCUAUGUCAACAAAUUAGGAUUGAUUUCUUCCUGAGAUACCACUGGAUUUCUUUCUUAUAGAACAGAUGAAACAAGAACCCGAACUGGACAACUUGGAACUAUACAGCCUACUUUACUUAAGCUUUAUCACAAGCACUGAGUUUUGAUUACUAUAUAUGUGUUCGUGUGCGGCAGGGCUGCUCAAAUAAAUAACCCUGCUGGCUCUGCUGGGCGAGUGGAUUCUUCCCCAACCGGUAACUUCACUCUUUAUUAACUUCCCUCUUUUCUUUCCUCUCCCUCUCUAUCUGGUGUUGGAGACAAAAGAAGAUAGUACUUGCUUUGUUGCGAUUGGUUAAUUCCAUUCAAAUUGCAUUCUUUAGUAGGAGCAGGGGAUAUACUAUUUUGCCCUAGAAACCCGCUUGCUAAAUACUCGUAUUCAGGGCACCUCGUAUCAAAAGCAGUAUAAUCUUCUGUCUUGUGAACUUGUAUAUAAGGGGACGCGUCAGUUAAUGGCUCGAUAAGCAAAGAUAAGAUGACAAGUCCAGCCCCAGCUCUUAAAGCAAAGGUUGAUUCGUCCAGCACUGUCCACGACCUAUACUUUCGGUGAAGAAGAGAAGAGGAUUUAGCUAGGUCUGAUAGAACCCGGGAAAAAGAAGAACGCCUUGACGCAGAGUAAAGUACCUGGAAAUAGAAGCUAUGCCUCCCUAAAACAAUAUUAGGAAUUAUAAGCCUAUCGUACGCCCGUGUCUAUCUCCUGUCAAGUGUGCUCCCUUCCAAGCUACUCUCACAGCAACUAUAACAGUGUUACUAACAACAAAGAGCAGUACCAGCUCAUCAGUGGUUCAAGUGCAGUGCCCGGAAACGGUUCUUUGAUCUAUGGCGACAACAAUUUCCCAACUGAUCCAUGGUAAAUAUAUUCCAAAAAUCAUAAUGAAAGCGAGUAUCCUGAGUUUCAUAACCUAAAGCACAGGUCUGUCUUAUUAUCAACAGCGGAAGCAAUCCUAUGAGGGUAUCUUUGGUUCUCCUCUAUGAUUGAGUUUGAUAUGUAUACUUAUCUGGAGACAUGGCUAUCGUAUGUCCACAGCGCUCGAGUUUUGCUCCGCAUCAAACAACUCAUGGGUAUUAUGCAUUCAUCUUCUUCAAUUGUUCUGCGAAGGACUGGAUAGGUGUAAGUGGUUCUUCUCCCUCGAUCUGUCUUCGUUGGAAGGUAGGGUUUUCCCUCUAUCUGGGUGUCCCGUUGAGUGCUACAUCUAGUUGUCUCCCUGUUUGGAGGUUUGGUUGACUCCUUUUCUACCUCAUUUCGGUUUUCCACAAACUGCCACACCAUGCCCCUUCUCCAGGGCUAGAAUAGUAUAGGUAAUAACUACCGAUCCCAAAAUGACUCCAUGUGCCCCGUCCGCUUAGACUCUUACUGCUUUCAUGAGUGCUGGCCCUUAUUGUAAGUUUCAGAUAGACCAACCUACUUUGGCGCACGAGGUGGCUAGGUAACAUAAAGUCAGGGUAUCGGACUGCAGAACUCCAUAAGCGCUUAACUGCUCAAUGGAACUUUCAACACUAAAUGGAGUAGUGGUCGACCGACGCCUUAGGUCCUUUAAUCAACCCCUUUUUACCCUAAUGGUAAUAGGGUGUGUUGUUAGUUUUGACUCUAUUCUAUGGAUUUUUAUUGGAAUGAAAGAAAUGACUUUCUACUGAGCUGCUUUUCAUAGCUAAAGUAGGCCAGUUCCUGUUGACAGUUAAGUCGGUUCAGAAAGUGAAUCAGUGUCAUUGGAUUCUUCCACGACCCCAACAACAAAUAGGGCAACAUUGGACAUUACCGGGUCCGCUGUGAGCAAAUCGCCUCUUUGCGCAAAUCCUUUUAAGCCAGGAUUGCCCCUAUUCGGUUCUUGGAGAAGCCCGGGUAAGAUUCAUAGCUAAUGGUUUCAUCAUCCUAUGAUCACAUUCCUUUUUCGAAUGGACUGCUAUCACUCGUCUGCGAACAGAUCCUUCUCUUGUCUUAACAGAAUUCAGAAAUCCAUUCCUACUGCCACUGCUCGUCCGUAGGCUAGAACGAUAUAACGGAGCGCUUACUUCUUUUGUGAACACCAAGCGUAACAACAAUUCCCACGUCAAAGGAAAGCUAGUGGAACUAGAGAUUGAAGCAAAGCUCAAAGAGAAAUUGAUGUAACAGCAAAAGCAGCACGCAGCGAAUACAAGAUAGUCGAGUUGCUCAGCUACAGUCGUUGUAGUAGGCCUAAGGUUUUGUUUCCCCCAGUGACUUUAAAGCGGCCGGCAUUACGAAGGCAGGAACUUAGCUUUCUAGGCGACAACUUUAGAGUGGAAAGUGGAAUACGAACCACGAGUACGGUAUCAAGGUUUCUUUCUGGACGUGGACAUUUGCGCUUGCUGGCUUUUUCAAUUGAAUAAAAACCCUUAGGAAUAACUCGCCCAGAUCCUUUAGUUGCUCCUAAUGGCAGGUGCUAUGUUUCCACAGGUGUUAUAGAAUAGAGCUUGCCCUGCGCUUCGAGGAAAGGCCUGCGGUGAAGUCUGAAAUCAAGCAAUUAUCUAAAUCAAGUUUCAUGGAUUCCUUUACACUGUAAAUAGGGAGAUCCAGCUAGAAUAUAGCAAGUCAAUCUUAAGGCACGAAAGAAAGACUUGGGCGCACAAGGAUAAAGUAGAUACUGCCCAGAACAGCACUCUUCCUCAGAUUCUAUAGAUUCCGUUUCCGUUCCUAGCGAGCUAACAUAAAACAAUUCCCUUCCAAACUAUCCUACUGCUAUUCGCUUGCCAAUCACCUAAAAACUCAAAACAAAGAAAGCCCAGUUGGGACGGGACGGCAAAAGAAGGAUAAGAAUUCCCAUGCCUGGCAAGAGACUGCAUUAAGGAUCUGACAAUCGAAGGAAGCACUUACUUCACGUAGUAAAGCCUCUAACUAGAUGAAGUAAACUCCCAGCGAGAAAGAAUUUCACAGGAACUGCCAACUCAAAGCGACGAUAAAGGCUAUUGAUACUACUCAAAAUACUGAAAUACUAUAACCUUGGGGAGGAGCAGAAAUCCACUUCUGGAAAAGGGACAGCACCAAUCCCAACUCAAAAGGUAGGGCGGGUCACCUAUUCCCUCGGCUGGCACAACAGAAAAGAUAUAGCCUAGCAAGGAACUUAAUAGUAUUGAAGGAAGAGGAGGAGUGCCAACUUUAAGGGAUCCCCAAAGAAUAGGAGGUAUAUUUCAAGUCAAAAGUGAACUAUAGAAAUUGAAGCUUUUUAAAGUCAAAGUCAGAAGGUAUGAGUUUAAGUUCAUCCAUAUCUGUAAAAGUUCAUCCAUUCUCCUCUCGUCUCUUUUGGGUUAUGUUAUCCUUAGUCCCCACACCACAGCAGUCUUAGUUUUGGGGUUAUGUUAUCCUUAGUCCCCACACCACAGCAGUCUUAGUGUGAUUCCGUCUAGCACUAGCAAAAGAUGGUGGCAUUCCCCUUGGCUUCACCCGGCCGAUAGAAGGUUCGAUUGGGAAGUUUCAUUCUGCUCUAGGCGAAAUACAAAGAAGGAUCGAUAUUCUUGAUUUCUGUCUUUUCCAGAGCCCUGAUUCGGCCUUAGCUUAGUUACUGAGGAAGCAGAUCUCUAUCUACAGGGAUUCUAGGCUAUGGUGGUUGACUUACUAGUUAGGUUAGUUGUAGAAUUCUAUUACUUACUCGGGUAGUUGACAUACUAAGUAAGGGUAGUUUACUGACUUGGAAGAAAUGAAAAGAAAUGAGAAAUAUGAAAUGCAGGCUUCAACCAGGCAGUUUCAGAAUCCAACUAGUAAGUAGGUGAGCUAGUCGGAAAGUAGGAAUUCCACUAGUUAGUAGUAAGCCUUAAGUCAGUUGCCCGAUGACCUAGUAGAACUAAGCCAAGGUAUUAAUUCCCUGCUUAUAGGUAUAUACUCAUAAUUGAACUAGCAGGUAUAAGCCCUAAAACCAGUGCAUCAAGGACAAGAAUCAAACUAGAAGGUAAUGAUUCCCCGCUUCUAUUAGUAGUAGAGUAGUUGAAUAAGUAGUUGGUUACAGAGGUAUCGGAUAAGAGACAGAGGCUCAAGGCUCAAUUAGUACUCGUUGCCAGCCCAGAAUCAAGACUAGUUGUAUCGUAGUCAAGAGCCAGGGGAUAGGUAGGAAAGGUAGAAUCUUGAAUAAAGAGGAGAGGCGACGAACUAGACUCAAAAGCACUAUAGGGACAUUUACGGAGGAAACAUAGGUCAUUUGCCAUCAAACCCCAUAAGUGAUGAAAUAGCUCAUUUGAAGCCGACAAGGAACGGAUAGACAAGCAAGGAGACCAGGCAGAUAGACAAGCAAGGAGACCAGGCAGCGUCCUGUGUGAACCUGUAUUUGAUUCUAUCUUUCUUUCUUAUGAGACCCCUAAGGCAACUUGACCUCUGGCUCUGCUCGGCUUGGUUAUACGUGACUUGGCUGAUAGCGGUGGUUGAGUGACUGAGUUUGGUUGUUGGCUAAAGUAAGGGUAGUUAGAGUGCCGGGCUUACUGGUUUCUUCAUUGAAACAAGAAAUAAAAGAAUGCAACUAUCGGAGGGCAACUAUCCCUCGAAUAAGAAGAGGAACAGAAAUGGGUAAGAAUGGAAGGUGAAAGUAAGCACUAAAGGAAUCACUUGGAGGUGUUGAUAGCUCUGCGCUCGCUAAUCCUGUUAACGGAAGCCUAAAACUAAAGUCUGGUCCAGCGCUACUAAGUAUUGAAAGUUCCUGUGAGAGUUUCAUCCUAUAUAGAAGAAAAGUAAGAGUCAACUAAAAAGCUUGAAAGCGAAGGAACAAGUAACUGCUAAUAGACAAGCUGGAAAGAAGAAAGGUAGGCAAAAGAAGUGACCAAAACUAGAGAAUUAGCCGAGGGGGUGUAGUGUAAUAGACAUCCUAGGAGGUGUGUAGUAGAAGAAGUGGAGAAUCAGCGGGAACUCUAUAAUCAUAGGGAACAAUAGAAUCAGCGGGAACUCUAUAAUCAUAGGGAACUAUAUCAGAUACGGGAUAAGGUACAUAAGCAGAAGUCAGAGAAUCAGCGGGAACAAGAAAAUAGACUAGAUAAAAGAGUCGCGUUCUCAUGCCCACUACUAUGCGGUUAAGUCGAAAGAGAAUGCACCGUAGAAAUAGAAAGAUAAGAUAAGAGGGUUGUUUGUAUAGUAGACCCGGGUAAUUAGCCAUAAGUAAGUGCCCAUUUCUUCUUCCUCUGUUGCUUCAGAGCCAGACUUAGAGCCAAUAAGUUCUCUCGAAGACUGUUAGUAUAGUCAACUUUACAAGCACUGCUAAUUCUUGAGUAAAGAGCCGAUGGAGUACCCAAAAGAUAGAAAUUAAUCACAUUCAUAACCGGAAAGCGACUACUACAAAGGAAAAGAGAGAAAGAAUCAAAUAAGGUAUACCUCAUUAAGUGAAUAGUUGACAGAGUUGCAUGAGCCAGAGAGGGAUGAGAUCGAGGUCAGUUAUGAUUAUUAGUGGGAAUACCUUUAGUUGUAGUCCAGGUAGUAGUGGUCCAAUCGAUAAGUAGUGGUCCAGUGAGAAAGUAGAGUUCCUGCUCGAGUGAUGAGUUGAAAGAGCUAGAUCAGUUGCCAAAGAAAGAGAGAAAGCUGUAUCGGGGAGGAAGACAAUAAGUGACUUUUUAGGAUAGGUCGGGUGUCAGGUAUAGUAUUCUAGAUGAUAGGCUGUGAGAGUUUAAUCCCUAGCUAGUUUACAGAGGAUAGAGAAGAUUAGCUAGUUGCAAGAGGAGAGUUAUCAGAGCAAUCCAAUCCAUAGUUCUUAAAGAAUAAAGUAAGGGCUUUGAGGCUAGGGGUUGUUGUGGAUUGGCCCCUUUCCACUCAUUUGGAAGAAAUGUGGGAUGAAUAAAAACAAUCAAAUCACAGCCAAGUCACUACUAAUGUGACGCUAAAGUGCCGCUAGUUUCACAAAUAAGGCAGAAACCUCGAGAGCAUUUUUCUAUAGAAACUCUAUACUAGUUAGGAAGGGAAAAACAUAGUCUAAUUCUAUCUGUUAUUAUUAAGGAAACCAGCAGCAAUCGAGUCUUCAUCAAAUACUGGUUCUUGUGAGCAACAGUAGGAGUUACAAAGAAGAGAGAAUAAAUAGUGGAAAGAUAAAAGAAUCAUAGGAAGUGGAAGGUCGAGUUAGAGUUAUGAGCCAGCAGCUUGUUUUAUUCUUUCACUCUGAUAAGAAAGAGUGGAUUAACUCCCUUCCCGCUUGCAGUUGACUUUCGAACUCAAGUUAUGGUUAAAACGGAUUGUAUGCCGCAGCUUGCCUACUUGCUAUGUGCUCGGGACGGGAGCAAUAACUGUAUUAGUUGCCAUUGCCAGAGGAGAGACGCCGUCAGCAAGCAGUUCUUAAAGCAAAGGAGUGCUGUUUUAAAGCAAAGGAGUCAAGUUUUCGUACACGGGUUUUGGUGAGCCAAGUCACUACAAGUGGAAUCCCUUUAGUACUGUUCCUGGUGGCCCCUGUUCCGCCUUUCUUAAAAGAAGGGCAGCUUCAGCUGCGAUGGCUACUGAUAUCACUCUUAGCUCCCGAUCUCAAUGCCCUAUCUCUGAAACUGAAACGGAUGAAACCAAUGCAGAGCUUGUCUAUACAGCUAACUCAUGUAAGGCAGACUCAAACUGGAGCAUAAUAAUAAUAGGCGGGGGUUCCGCUAUUACCUACCCAGCUAUGAAUUCCCGAGGUACAUUGAUUCCUGGGGAUGCUACUCAACGACUAUGUUAUUUGACUUUAGCCCGAUACUAGUGCUACCAAGACUUCACUACUAUCAUAUAAGAUGUAACCCACUGAUAACAAGGCUUUGGUGCUAGGCCGGGAAUCCAACUCAUAAGUAAGGGACAUCGGCUGAGCGCUACUAUAGUGUAUACAGGAAUAGAAGAACUGAUGCCACUGAUAAUUUCACUAACGCCAAUCAGACGGAAAGGCAGGCCAAGCAACUUACAUAGCUCGUAGUCUUCUGAUCCCUCUUCCAUUACUAUCUCUCGUGCCCCAGUUCCUUAAACUCAUGCCUUUCACUCUUAGUUUCCCAUCUUUGAUUCUUAUUACAUAGGUGAGUAUAGCGCAUACAGGACAUAGCAUAGAGCCUACCAAGCACAAGAAUAGAGCUACGACGCUUCUAAUACUUGAACCUGUAAUAUAAAGAAAUGCACUGGUGCUUUAAAUACUGGAACUCGAAACUGGAAUUCUGACCUUUUUCGUCUUAGAUGAUUAACUAUCAAACUCAUAUGUUGCCCAGAUAUUGAGAAAAGGAUAGCUUAGCCAGCAAUGGACUUAUAUUAGUAAGCAUCAGAACCGAACAGGUAAGUAGAAGCUUAUAGGUCAGGAUACCCGGCUAGCAAGCAGGCGUAAGUCAAAGGAUUUCAAUCAUUAGUAAAUAGGAUGAUAAAACAGAGGGUAAGCGCUCGGAGUUGAACUGAUUAGUCACAGAAUUCAGGGAUAAGAUAUGUAAUUUCCCUACUGGUUCCCUAGCUCUCAAGUAGUAAAUAAAUAAGAAAAACGUAGUAGUAUGGGUGACAUACAUCCCAAGAAUAGAAAUAAGUAGUAAGGCAACAACUCUCAAGUCGGAAUCAAACAAAGAAGUAAGGAUGACAGCGCCAAUCCGAAGAGUAGAACCAGGCCCGGGUCUCUACCGUUAUUCGUGACUUGCCUGCCUGGCUGUACUUUUUCACCUAAGAAAAUACUCUCUCAAAUGCCAAUCAAUCUUAUAUAAGUGAACUGAAUAGUUUUGUAUUUCAUAAUAUCAUAAUAACAGAUGGAAUCAAAGCUAUUAGGGACAGGCUAGCAAUCGGGCAUAGCAGUUUGAGUUUCAAAGCAAGGGAAGCGGGGAUCCGGAUCGGCAGUGAGAGAACGAAGGCAAGGGGAUAUGGUCUAAGAUAAGGUAAAGCAAAACGGAAAGUCAAGGUAAUCAGAUUUGAAGCAAGGCAGCUUUGAUGUCAGUCCAUGGUAUUUUAGAAUAGGAGUUAGGAAGGGCAGGCCAACACACCUCAAAGUCAAGGGUCUCAUAAUGAAAGUCAGCACUACAAUACAUUAACUAACAACCCAGGCGAAAAGUAAGGGUAGGGAGAUUCAUAGGCCGCGUAGCAAAGAGAGGCUAGGCUCUAGGCCAGUAAUACAAGAAUCAAAACACAGAUCCGAAUCAGCAGUGAUAGCCUAAUAGAGCGGGGUUGUUUCCUAGGGUUUUCAAGAGAUAAGUCAGAUACGGAUGGGAACUCGGAAUGACACUAUGCACUAGGAGACCUUAACUAGGAAAUAAGACUUACUUGACUUCCCAUGGGUCUUACUGCCCAUACUUACUAUUGGAUAACUACCUACUAUUAUAUAUUAGAAGCAAAUAGUGCACUAACGAAUGAAACUACAACGGACGAGAAUCAAGCUAUUACUUCCGAGAAUAAACCAAAGAGUAUAGAACCUAACUACCGCUUCUCGGGCUUAAGUAAAUAAGGUGUAGUUCUAGGCUAAGGUAAGAGUCGAGCAGCUAAGUCAAAGAACGAAAUAAGGGCAUAGGGAACAGAACCGGGGCCACCAAUACUGUAUCUUGUAAUGAGGAAAUCAACUCGAAAAGGCAAGACUUGACCCGCUACCGGGAAGAAUCAAUCCAAUGUUAAUAAGACUUCCUUACUGUCUCAGCGCUCAGUGAAACUACCAUAGUACCAGAAAGGAUGGAACAAGCGCUUAUAGGACUUUCACUCACAACCGGCAAUUUCACUAACAAGUAGUAAAUAAACUAGUGUCUUUAAAGCUCUAACUACUGCUCUCAAGGCUAACUACCUCGGCUUUCACUCUCUGGGCUCCCUAUUGACUUUAUUGCUUUUGAGCUAAAGUGUGAAACUAUUGAAUCCAAAUCUUAUACCUCUGCCAACAAGAGUAAGACAACAACAUACUACUCUUUUCAUUCCGAUACCAUGGCAUAUAAAUCUUAUUACUCUACAAAUAAGGAUGGGACUGCUGAAGGGAGACUGCCCUUAUUACCUAUUUGUUUGACUUUCCUUGCUCUCAAGCACUAGAACUACCCCUAUGAGAUUAGACUGUUCCUAUACCAUAUGGGAAUGAAACUACAAAAAAGAAGUAGUGCUUUGGUUUCAUCCCAGUUCCCGUAGGAGUAAGUAUCUGAUCACUCUCCCCAGUAGUCGGAAUGCAACUAAACAGUAUAAGAGUCAAGACUCAAAGUAAGGGCAGCUUCGCAGCUGUCAGUGUGAAAGAGGUGGGUAGUGUGAGUUUAAGAGAAAGGUAUGGCAGGCUCUAAGGCAUUACCGGAUCAGUAGCUCUGGUCUUAGGUUCUAUUCUUGUUAGCCCUAGUUCCCAGCUCCAUUCUCACUUUUAGACGUUGCUUGGCGAAGCAAUCUCGUAACUAUAGUACUGGAAAGAAUGCACUACUUACCUAGUGGAUCAAACGACUCUUGUAAAUAUAAUAAGAAAGGAUGUAGAAACCUAUACUAUCAUAUAAUAAUUAAUAAUGUUUUAACAAGCCAAUCAAGAACUGAAUAAGGAUUUCUCAUUGUUUAAGCACUGAUCUUCUCUAUUCUCGACGUACCAACCGUAGUUUUGUUCUGACUUGAGAAUUGAGUUGACUCUAGUUCAUGGGCAUAAUCAAGUACUCGUUUUGCUAACCUAAGUCUAUGAGAAAGAAGUUGGUGCUAGGGUUGUGGAAAGUUCAGGAGUUAUUCCCUUGUGUAUAAGUCUGCAAGAUAAAUGAUUGGCGCUUGUCAGUUGCCCGCUCAAAGUAUUGAUUACUCAGAUAUGUGCUUGAGAAGUCCAGACAAUAAAAUAAGUGUCGAAGUCGGCAAAAGGAGAGGAUGGCGAGAAGACAUAAACAAGUCCUGUGUUCGGGAGCUAGUCCACCGAUUGCCCGAAGCUAGUAACUAAGAUCAGAAUCAAACUCAUGGGUUGGAAAGUGAGAAUGCAACAGGGUAGUCUUUCGGGAGUUAGAGUGAAACGGUAGCGAGCUAUAAUAGCGGUAGGUUGUUGUUGUGUUUACUUUAUUAGUACUCGCCCCGACACACCAAUCAUUCUUUUACUGAUUAGUUCGAUCUCCUAAGUUUGUAUUGAUUCUUUGACUUAUUAGUUGAGCUGCUGUGUAAGUAGUUAAGCCUGAGUUCCCAGUUAAAGUAUCUUAGUGCGCUGUUUCCCUCUUUGACUACGAUGAUCCUCAACUAAUACAAAUAUAGAGCUAUAAGGCUAUAGGCGGUGUAGGAUCUAGUGCAUCAGAUAGCUAUUAACUAAAAGAAUUCAAAGAACAAGUAAAAGACCUCGAGAUACUGUUUAUAAGACUGAUUAACUACCCACUCUAACAAGAAUAGAGCGACUACUAUAUGAAUGGAACUAACUGGUAGAGGAUGAAACUUGAAACAUGGGAUCCAAAUACUGACUAUGAGACUUGAACACAACUCCAAUAGAUUGAACUGAGUAGCCAAGGAAUCAAACCAACGCCUAAAAGCCUAGCCCUACUAAAGAAAUGAACUCGCUAUCCUGUGUCGAGAGUCACUCUGCCCCUCUUUGCUUGAAAUCUGAGAUAUACCUCCUCGCACCCUGUUUGUUAGCUUCCCUGCCUUACCCGAAAACCGUAUCUCUGCUUUAACUCUGACUGCCGUGUCUAUUAUUCUUUAGCCAAGGCAAUAGAGACUAGGGAAUAGCGUAUAAAGAGUAGAAUCGAACUAGUGCCAACGGGAAUCCAACACUCACUGAUAGACCUACUACUUUACAUAAUACAAAAGAAGUGAACCACUGCCUCUUAGACUUAACUAGGUGCUUCUAAUACUUACCCGACUCGCCCGGAUCCUGUGUUCUAUUACGAGUAUAUGCCACUCCCAUCCCAACUACCAUUAUGUAACUCAUGUCUAUUGGCCUUACUUGUUCCCUUGCUUGAUCUUUGACUUCUUGAAUGUUAGUUUGCUGUUGCUAGUUUACUAGUUCCUGCCGAAGAAAUAAGGAUUGGCGCUUGUUCGGUGCUCUAGCUCUAAGUCAUAGAGAGAAGAAUGGCCUGGCCUGUUCUCAAGUAAAGUUCGGGUGCUAAAUCUCUUGCUGAUAGCGGGUACUUUUGAACUCACUCCUACUGUUCCUACUAUCCUAUUGCCCCAUUGCAUCCUUAAUAACAAUAGUAAUAGGAGAUAGAUCUAUCCCUAUAAAGAACAGAACUUCCCGCCUCCACCAACUUACUAUAAGGGCCUAUGGCUCAGCUACCUAUGGGAACUGUAAACAAAUACUUCUUGAAAGAGCUAUACCUACUUAAUUAUAAGGGCAACUGCCAAGCGUAUACUAGACAAUAGUAGCAAGAGGAAAAAUUAGGACUCAAAAAGAAAGGUGAACUCUGGCUCAUUCAUUGAAAUAGUAAACUCCCGAAAACAGGACUUGCAAAUUACUCAUACAAACUUCUAAUUAAGUAAGCGCAUAUUAAGCUUGUUCGAUCGGAACUACAUUCUUUGGACCACUACAAGGGAAAGCGUCAACUACUCUGUCUUAUAGCUCUAAUUCUUAUCUCUAACCCCCAGGUAAACAGUCCUUUCCUUGACUUCCCGCAACAAAGCCAGUAAGAUAUGAUUCCUCGGACAGCUAUAGACCUAUAUCUUUAUUUCGGGAACAAGCAUCUCUGUAUCUGUGUUGGCUUGGAAUCCAUUUAAGUGCUCGAAUCCAACUCAAUACACUAGAUGAAACUCAGUGAACUCAACUCGGAACUAUAGGAACAAUGCAUUUGAGAAUCCCAACUUCGGAGUAUAAGAAUGAGGAGGCGCCCCGCAAGAUCAAACUAACAAGUAGAAAUACCGGACAUAACUCUAAUGCAUUGACGAGGCAAGAGAGACUAUAACUAGUGCUUCUAUUACUUUAACUGGGAACUUCGAAUUGAGCUAGUGCUUCUCGGAAUGUGGAUGCUCAAACUCAAAAAGUCAGAAUAUGGUUACGAGGUAGGCGCAUCCAAAGAUUCAAAUGCAAGCUAGGGAACAAGACCUUUGCUUGGAACUGCAGCCUGUAGCUACUGCUUAAAGGCUUUAACUAAUUGCUUUCAUUCUUCGACUCAUAAGUAGGAAUCGCACCCCGGCAGAACCAUAAUGACUAUGCCCCCCGCCACCGGAGAAGACUUAACCUAGUACUUCAAAGCCCUGUUACCUCUUCUCUGAGCCUGCCGCUGCUGAUCGAAAAUAUGAGAAAAUCCCCCAAGAAACUAGGCUUGCUGUUAAGGGUUUCAACUAGCACUCAGGUCUACCGGGGGUCGAACUCAGACUUACUUGACUGUUAAUCGGGCGGACUUCCCUGGCUAUUAGGCUUACAAUCCUUCCUUUGAAACUGACAUCUCUACUGAAAAGAAUGGAAAAAGAAACUAGGAAGUCAACCAAUGAAAACAACACUUGAGCUCAUUGCAAGGAAAUACACUAUUGCUCCCAAGCCUGCCCCUCUUGUCUUUGAGUCUACCAUGCCUCUUGAUAUCAUUCCAAAACGACGAAAUAGCACUCUGAAACUACUCACUAUAAUAAUUUCCAUAAUGCCUACGAUAACUAAACUAAGCAAAAGCGAGACUGGGACCGCUGCUCACAAUAAUGAAACAAGCGACUGGGAAUGGAACCGGGAAUACAGGAACAGGGUACUGCUUCUAAUACUUUACUUCUUGAAACAAGCCCUGCAGCUGUUACCUAUUGACUGAACUCUUGCUCUUUUCUCUCUCCUAUGGCAACUAGCUAAUCUCUAUCCUAUCCUCUGAUUCUGGUUCCGAUAAGUGGGUUUCAUUCUGAUCUUCAGUACUUAUAGGCUUCCUCUCCUAUUCUGCACUUCUUUACUUAUUGCUUAGCUUCCUCGCCUCGAACUUUCACUGGUUAUUCUCUUUCUUACCGAUUAGUUCCAAUUAGGCUCCUCUCUGUCCUAUGCCUAUCCGAUUAGUUCCAAUUAGGCUCCUCUCUCGCUACUAGACCUAUGGCAACUAUACCUUAAUUCUUCUAUGGUUCUGUCAACUACUACUGUUAUGGCUCUGGGCUCUGUAAACUCAUACAGUUAUUGCUCUGGACUAUUCUCCUCUUGCAACAACAAAAUCAUUUGAAUGCGCGUACCCGCUGCAGGGCGAGUUAGUCUCUUGAGCACCGGAGGAAGCCACUGGUAGAUCAGCAACUACAAGUCCCAAGUCCAGGAAAAACCUCUGCACUAAGUAAUAAAACAGGAAAUAUUAUUGUAUUCUCUUCUCGGCCUUUGAUGCGAGGUGCACUUCCAUAGAGAAAGCUGUUCCAGUGGAAUCCUUUAAAUAAGAAUAAGGGAACUACUAAUAAGUCUAACUUCCACUCUGAUAUCACUCUAUUAACUGCUGAAUAAGAGGCCCAAGCAUCUGUCUUUGCAAGAACCAGAACAAGGCAUUCUACUGCUGACUUUAGAACUGAUCCUUCUCAAGCUGAUGUAUAAAAGCCUUCUUUCUCUGUUGGCUCUGGCUCUUUGAACUAAUUAGCAACUUUCUUGAUUUCUUGAUUUCUUUCUGAAACUUAUGGCUAGUCUCUUUGAACCUAGUCUCUUUUAAGAGGAUAAAUUGAUUGAGUUUAUAAGAAAGCUCACUCCGCGUAACAUUUGUAUAUACUUGGCGGGUUCUACUACUCCACAACUGCUUCAGAUCCUUUUCCAACCUCUGAUCGAGUAGACUAGGAUGAAACUCGGGGUUAAAAGACAGAUGAAACUCUUGCAACAAAGACAUCUGAAACCAUGGACAGAUGCUAGAUCGGAAGAAACAAGAGAUGGCAACAAUACCUUCAGCAGAAGCAACUGGUAGAUCAGCAACUGAGUUAAUAUAAGAUAGAAUGAAAUACCUGUAAGUAACUGAAUCAAACUAGAAACUCGCAACUACGUGCUUUACUUAUAUAUCGUGUAUAAAGAAGCUCUUUUCUCGAGCCUAUGGAGCGGCGAUACGCUAAGUCAAGCAAGAGGGAGCAGGUGUUCAAGCUAGAUCAUAAGAAGGUUCAUGUGCAUCCGCUUAUGAAUGGACAUAAAGAGAUGAUACUUUACCUUGCCCCCCCACAAAGAGAUUCUAUAAGACACCUUUUUUGGGGCGAAGAGCAACUCCUAACCUAUCUCCUACCUUGGUGACAUCAAUCUAGAAUACCUAACUCAAUCCUUUGACCUUGCCUUUGAAUCCAUUGUAGGAUCUGCUUAUAGCUAAUCCUGUUCUUGCUUAAGGUUGAACUCUG
rnacentral:lncRNA from 1 species